AUUGAACGCUGGCGGCAGGCCUAACACAUGCAAGUCGAGCGGAGCGGCGGACGGGUGAGUAAUGCCUAGGAAUCUGCCUGGUAGUGGGGGAUAACGUCCGGAAACGGGCGCUAAUACCGCAUCCUAUCAGAUGCGACUAGGUCGGGUGAGCUAGUUGGUGGGGUAAAGGCCUACCAAGGCGACGCUCCGUAACUGGUCUGAGAGGAUGAUCAGUCACACGGGAACUGAGACACGGUCCAGACUCCGACGGGAGGCAGCAGUGGGGAAUAUUGGGCAAUGGGGGCAAGCCUGAUCCAGCCAUGCCGCGUGUGUGAAGAAGGUCUUCGGAUUGUAAAGCACUUUAAGUUGGGAGGCGUUACCUACAGAAUAAGCACCGGCUAACUUCGUGCCAGCAGCCGCGGUAAUUC
rnacentral:rRNA from 1 species